ACGUCAAAUACUAAAACUUUUAUGAAUUAAAGGAAUUGCCAAAGUCUGUAGAUUGCGACGCAUAAUUUGAAGACGCAUAAUUCCGAGCAGUUGAAAAAUAUGGAGAAGACGAGCCUCGGCAAAAACAACAACAUUUGUUUUUCACGACUGUUUAGUCGAUUACUACACCAAAAAAGACUGUCAAAUUGUGAUUGCAAAUACACUAAAGCAUGCGCCUGGAUAAAAAGAGGACAAAGGAUGUCAUUUGUUCGAAGAGUCGUUUCUAUAAGAGGAGGAACAAGAAGUUUAAUUUAUAAAAAUUCAAAAUUAUCGAAAAUAUAUAUUUUAAAACGUUUA